UUUGGCAGCGCGUCCAACCGUCAUCACAACUGCAGACCACGUGUAACCACGCCAGCCCAGGAUCUCUAUAUCUGGAUUCAUAACCUGCAGGAUUGUCUGAGACCAGCCACCUGGACAGCUGAUGAAACUGUGGCUUUGCACGAGUGAAGAAUUUCUGCAGAAAUUGUCUCAGGGAAGUUGAUCUGCGUGCUCGUCGUCCUCAUCGGGGUUUUGACCUGGCUGCAGUUUGGCCUCGUAACCGAGUUCAGUGGGCAAAUGCUCACCUUCGAUGGCCACUGGCAGACUGAAGAAAUGUGCUCUUCGUGGAUGAAUCCCGGUUUCAACUGCACUGGGCACAUGGCAGAUAACGUGUACGGCAUUGUGGGCAAGCAGUUUGCUGAUGUCAAUGUAUUGAACAGAGUGCCCCAUAAUGUGGUUAUGGCAUAAGCUAUGGAGAACUAACAAAAUUGCAUUUUAUCAAUGGCAAUUUGAAUGCACAGCGAUACCGUGACAAAAUCCAGUGGCCCUUUGUCCUGCAGUUCAUCCACCGCCAUUACCUCAUGUUUCAGCAUAAUGCACGGCCCCAUUUCGCAAGGAUCUUUACACAAUUCCUGGAAGCUGAAUGUCCCCAAUUCUUCCAUGACCUGCAUACUCACCAGACAUGUCACCCAUUGAGCAUGUCCGAGAUGCUCUGGAUCAACGUGUACAAAAGCGUGUUCCAGUUCCCGGCAAUAUUCAGAGACUUCGCACAGCCAUCAAAGAGAAGUGGGUCAACAUUCCACAGGCCACAAUCAAGUCUGAUCAACUCUGAGAAGGUGUCUCUCUGCAUAAGGAAAAUGGUCACACCACGCUGUGACUAACUAUCUAAUCCCAGUAAUAUGACAUCCAUAGAUUGGGGACCUAAUUGACUGAUUUCCGUAUGAACUGUAACUCAGUCAAAUCUUUUAAAAUGUUGCAUGUCAUAUUUUUGUUCAGUAAUACUGCAUUGUUGGGUUUAGAGCUUGCAAUGAAGACAUUUCACUUAACUUGUAGAACCAGCUUGUUUGACAAUGUAUUGUACUAACGAUGGUGAAUUAUUCACACUAAACCGGUUUCCCAACUUGAAGUCUGUUUGUGAGCGGAUCUUGAAAAGAGGACAGGCAAGUGAAAGGUCGCUCUCACAGACAACACACUCAUUGAGCAGCAUAUGGGUAAGGAUCCAUUUAUAGUAUGUAUUUUUCAUCAGUAUGAUGUAACAAGUCUUGAUACAUUUUGUAUGUACAUGUCAAAUUUAGCAAUCAAAAUGUUGCAUCAGAAAAUAUGAAAUGGUGGUUUUCCGACAGGGAUUUUCAUUGAGAUACAUGUACAAUGUUUCCAUCUCCUCUCAGGCAAAUACGGCAUAAUCUGUCUAGAGGACCUGAUCCAUGAGAUCUACUCUGUGGGGAUGAACUUCCGUGUGAUUCAUAAGGAUUCAAUUCAUCUUUGUCUUACCACCACUGGGACCCAGCUGGCAGAGUUUAUACUGGACCUGAUCAGAAUUUUACACAUGGAAAGACUGCCCCUCUCUGGACUAUGUUGUGAUUAGACAGCAGAUUGUCUCUCCGUUUUGUUGAACAGUCAGUCUAUAAUCUCAUGUUACCACCUCUGCAGAGGCUCCGUAUGAAGGAGAUUCUAAUAGCUUUAUCACUACUCGCUUUUACCCUUCAGGUUGUUGAGGGGAUGUAAUUAUGCUUACUAUGUAUGUGAGAUGAAUGUUUUUCAAUAAACUGAAACGAUUUUGUACUUGGGUGCAGACAAUGUUGCCUUUUUUUAAUGACUCAAUUCCUGCAAUUUCUUCCUCAAAAGGUUCACCUGCCACUGGCUGCUCAGUGUGUCAAUCAAUUUAGGGAGAUGUGACUCGUCCAGCCCAGUGGAGGAGGGGGUCUGGGGAAACUGCAUCCCAGGGUGCUGCAAUGCAGGGACACAUGCUACUUGUGCCAGCAACAUUUGAUUUGUCUAUGUAUGCAUUUUUUAAUUUUGGUACAUGAAUGGUUGGAAAUGUAAGAGAAUGACAUGUUAUGCAUGUUAAAAUCUACAGUAGAGCAUGACAGUAAGUAUAUAUUGAGGGACUUAAGGGGGUACAAAUCUGUCUCGCUGCUCUGCGUCAUAUCAGGGUGGUCUGGUCCAACAUUUUAAUGAAAAAAAAAAUCACAUUGCCUUGCCUUUUGAGAAAUGACGAUUUUAAUGACACCACACUGAAGAUGUAGAUGAUAAAGCCCUAACCAACCACAAUGUGUCUGUAUUGAUGUACGGUCUUGAUGCUGGAGUAAGAAGAAAA